CCAGCAGCUGCGGUAAUUCCAGCUCCAAUAGCGUAUAUUAAAGUUGUUGCAGUUAAAAAGCUCGUAGUUGGAUUUCUAGAUAGGUGGGUACUUGUACUUUGCUUGUCUACCAGUCAUAGACUGUUACUGUGAGAAAAUUAGAGUGUUUCAAGCAGGCUGUUGCAGGAAUACAUUAGCAUGGAAUAACGAAUGUGUCUGGAAUAUUGGUUAAUUCUAGAUUACGAUUAAUAGGGAUAGUUGGGGGCAUUAGUACUUAACUGUCAUAGGUGAAAUUCUCGGAUUUGUUAAAGACUAACUUAUGCGAAAGCAUUUGCCAAGGAUGUUUUCAUUGAUAAAGAACGAAAGU
rnacentral:rRNA from 1 species